AUCAAGUAUCGAGUAUCCGGACAAGUAAAUGUAGUCCUAUCGAGCUCGCAUUACAAAACGCCAGUGUCGACAAGAUGAGUCGAGCGAUUAAAUUACAUAUGACACGCGCGUAUUGCACUCUAUAAUGACAGAUAUAUGGGAAUAAUGGAAUGCUACUCCACCACUGACUGUGAAAGUUGUAUUAAUUACAGCCUCUUAAUGUGUCGACAUUUUUUCGCUCCGACUUUUAUAUCUUUUUGGGCGGGGAACGAGAAACCAUCGUUCUACAGGAAAAUAAUUACAUAUUCCUUAUUGUGGAUUAAACUUCUAUAAUUGCAUUCAAUUAUAUAAAAAA